AUCCUUUUAAGAAUAUCUAAUAAAAUUGGAACGAUACAGAGAAGAUUAGCAUGACCCAUGUGCAAAGUUGACAUGAAACACUUUGACCUCAAAACUACAAUC